rnacentral:rRNA from 1 species
AAUGGUGGAAACACUGAACCAGCCAUGCCGCGUGGAGGAAUAAGGUCCUACGGAUUGUAAACUCCUUUUGACGAGGAAGAAAGUGUUAGAUUUAUCUAAUUUUGACGGUACUCGUAGAAUAAGCACCGGCUAACUCCGUGCCAGCAGCCGCGGUAAUACGGAGGGUGCAAGCGUUAUCCGGAUUUACUGGGUUUAAAGGGUCCGCAGGUGGGGAGGUAAGUCAGUGGUGAAAUACCCGGGCUCAACUUGGGUGCUGCCAUUGAUACUGCUUUUCUUGAGUGUAGAUGAGGUGGGCGGAAUACAGCAUGUAGCGGUGAAAUGCGUAGAUAUGCUGUAGAACACCGAUUGCGAAGGCAGCUCACUAAACUACUACUGACACUCAGGGACGAAAGCGUGGGGAUCAAA